rnacentral:rRNA from 1 species
UACGUAGGGUGCAAGCGUUACUCGGAAUUACUGGGCGUAAAGCGUGCGCAGGCGGUUGUGCAAGACCGAUGUGAAAUCCCCGGGCUUAACCUGGGAAUGGCAUUGGUGACUGCACGGCUAGAGUGUGUCAGAGGGGGGUAGAAUUCCACGUGUAGCAGUGAAAUGCGUAGAGAUGUGGAGGAAUACCGAUGGCGAAGGCAGCCCCCUGGGAUGACACUGACGCUCAUGCACGAAAGCGUGGGGAGCAAACAGG